GAGUAAUGCUUCGGAAUCUACCCAUGUAGUGGGGAAUAACUAGCCGAAAGGUUAGCUAAUACCGCAUACGACCUACGGGUGAAAGCAGGGGAUCGCAAGACCUUGCGCUAUCGGAUGAGCCGAAGUCGGAUUAGCUAGUUGGUGAGGUAACGGCUCACCAAGGCGACGAUCCGUAGCUGGUCUGAGAGGACGACCAGCCACACUGGGACUGAGACACGGCCCAGACUCCUACGGGAGGCAGCAGUGGGGAAUAUUGGACAAUGGGGGCAACCCUGAUCCAGCGACGCCGCGUGUGUGAAGAAGGCCUGCGGGUUGUAAAGCACUUUUAGUGGGGAUGAAAAGCUCGGGGUUAACACCUCCGGGUCUUGACCUAACCCAAAGAAAAAGCACCGGCUAACUCUGUGCCAGCAGCCGCGGUAAUACAGAGGGUGCAAGCGUUAAUCGGAAUUACUGGGCGUAAAGCGUGCGUAGACGGUUACAUAAGUCGGGUGUGAAAGCCCCGGGCUCAACCUGGGAAUGGCAUUCGAGACUGCGUAGCUAGGAUGCGGAAGAGGGAAGCGGAAUUUCCGGUGUAGCGGUGAAAUGCGUAGAUAUCGGAAGGAACACCAGUGGCGAA
rnacentral:rRNA from 1 species